UACGUAGGGUCCGAGCGUUGUCCGGAAUUAUUGGGCGUAAAGAGCUCGUAGGCGGUUUGUCGCGUCUGCUGUGAAAUCCCGAGGCUCAACCUCGGGCCUGCAGUGGGUACGGGCAGACUGGAGUGCGGUAGGGGAGAAUGGAAUUCCUGGUGUAGCGGUGGAAUGCGCAGAUAUCAGGAGGAACACCGAUGGCGAAGGCGGCAUCCUGGACCAACACUGACGCUGAGGAGCGAAAGCCAGGGGAGCAAACGGG
rnacentral:rRNA from 1 species